UGAUUACGGGUUUGGGUGGUAUCCAUACUAAUAGAUUUGAGGAUUCUACAGCCGUCGCGGCAGCGGCAGCUGCAGCCAACAAUGGGGAGGUUGCCAUUAGGAUAAUAGGUGCAGGAGAACAUGAGCAUGAUACGGAGGGCUCUGGAUUGGUAGUUGGGCAGUUGGGUGCUCAGAGUGAGGUGUCUGUGCAGCAGCCAAUGGUUGGGAUGGAAUCUGAUGUUCAGGGAGAUUCUAGAAAUGAUCG
rnacentral:misc_RNA from 1 species